CAGAGGGGCAAGCGUUGUUCGGAAUUACUGGGCUAAAGGGCGCGUAGGCGGCCUUCUAAGUCGAACGUGAAAUCCCCGGGCUCAACCCGGGAACUGCGUCCGAGACUGAAAGGCUUGAAUCCGGGAGAGGGAUGUGGAAUUCCGGGUGUAGCGGUGAAAUGCGUAGAUAUCUGGAGGAACAUCGGUGGCGAAGGCGGCAUCCUGGACCGGUAUUGACGCUGAGGCGCGAAAGCCAGGGGAGCAAACGGGAUUAGAUACCCCGGUAGUCCUGGCCCUAAACGAUGAAUGCUUGGUGUGGCGGGUACCGAUCCCUGCCGUGCCGAAGCUAACGCAUUAAGCAUUCCGCCUGGGGAGUACGGUCGCAAGGCUG
rnacentral:rRNA from 1 species